CCAGAUACAGUGCGUUUCGCAAAUGAACGGAACUUGGCUUAGAAUACAGCUCUAUAAUUUGAAUGAAUAUAUUGAAUUACCAUCUUGACUUGAUUUAUUGAAACAACUUUGAAACAUGCUAACACAACUUAUUUAUUUCUCAGCUUAUUUCGAAUUUAUACUACCGAACCGCACUGUCCCACACAUGCUCACACAUUUGGAUGAAACCGGCUUUGAUUUCUAAUUAUUGGGGAUCGGUUUGCUUUUUCUGGGUCUAAAGUUUUUUUUUCUUUUUGAUAUUUGAUUCGAUGGCUCGUGAGCUUUAAAUUAACAGCGGAAAUAGCUGAAGCGAUAAUGCCAAUAAAAACGCUUAAGACUUUUAGUUUUUCCCUAGAAAGGCGUUUAUUUUCGAACUUAAUUCCAAUUAAACGAUGGUUUAUUGUCUCCGGCAGAUAAUAAGGCGUAAAGGGUGUUUAGGCUUAGGCUCACUUGCUGUGGGAGCGACCAGAUUGAAACUGGGCUUUAUGUUUAUGGCCAACUUUAGGGUUUCUGUUCUGGGUUCCCUGUCUGAAUGUAAUAACUCAAUGUCAGCUCGUGGGCGAAGGAAAACAAAGGCAAGGCAGCCAGGAGGACGACGCAUAGGAGAGAUUCAUUCAAGGCAGCAUAAUGAAGCAUGAAAAGCUUAAGCUUCAACAGACAAUGCGACGUCUGCAGUCCAGGCACAAAAGGUAUGAAAUAUACAUACAUAUAUAUAAUCCUAGACCCUGUGGCCCUCUUCCUUCUGGGAUUUACAACUCAUUAGACGAUGCAAAACCAUCGUUUGGCAUUCAAGACACGGAGGAUAACACCGAAAACACCUCCAUUCAUCGAAUGAAUCAUCUCGCGGUCUUAAAUCCGUUAAUAGGCAAAUCAUGUACCAGCAGACCACCAAUUGUCCAACAGGUUUUCCUUAUAAUUUUAUUAUCAUCAUGCUCCGUUCGAAUUCGAGUUCCAGUUCGAAUCCCCGAGUCCAAAGUUGGAGUGUUACCUUUUCGAUUGUGAUUCAUAAUUGUUACAAGUGCUUACGAAAAGGGCUUGGUCUCUGUCUCUGCACAAUUGAAAUGUAUUGAGCAUAUGUGCACAUGUAAAUGGCUCGAAAAGUGCUUGUAAUUAGUCAGCAUAUGUCGGGCUGUCAUAUGGAAAGGGGAAUCAAAUUUGGGAUUAUUGUUUCCAAGAAUUUUGAAUGCCCUCCUAAUUGAUUGCUUUUGGUUAUAAAAAAAGGGUUGACUAAAAAAUAUUACUUUACAUUCAAGGUAACAAAAAUAGUUUGCAUUAUGAUAUUUUGUUAAGUUUAUCUAGAGUGUUCCCUAAUAUACCCUGCGCAUCAAGGGGUAGCAUCCUUAAACAAGUAACUGUAAUCAGGCUUAAGCUUCUCGGUCAGUUAGCCUACGGUCAUUUGCCACUGCAACUGGCAACCGCAAGAGAAGUCAGGUUGUAUUCCAAGGUCCAGGAACAGAGUCAUGCCAUCCGAUCAUUUUCGGAACUGAAAAGAAGGCUAACAUAUGUCAGAGUCAGGUUUCCCCAACCCCAGAAGACGGCCAAAACCAACAGAAGAAGACGAGGCUUAUCAAAAACAUUUUGGCUUUGGCGCCAAUUUCGUGUUAAAUAAAAUGCAGCGCGAAGAUUUAUAAAGGCAUAAAGACAGCGAUUGGAAACGGGACCACCCAACAUAUUCAAAAAUAUUCAGCUUCGCUUGCUAAUUUGUCAGCAUUGAAAGGGUGAUGGAGGAGGGGCAGAAGAAGGUGGUGGGGAAAAAAGAGCGAUGCGGGUUUUGUAAUUCUACGAAAUCAGCUUUAAGCCAUUCGGCGGAGGCCUCCCAAAGGUGUCAAUUCGUGAAGAAUUUUAAAAUGCAUGCGAUGAGUAAUAAUCCCCACGACAGACACAUAUUUUUCUUUCACCGAAGCGGCUUAAAAAACGGCGUAGUGGAAUAAGAAAAUGGGGGGCCUUUUUCGUCAUAACUUGGCCAAAAAUGGCCGCACAGCUAAAACAAAGACUGUUUUCUGCUCCUAAUAAACGUACUGUCUAAUUGGGUAUAUGGCUCACAAUUGUGGCAGAUUGAUCAGCAGCUCUAGGCCUGCUUCACAAACAGCAAAGAUACCUUCAAGUGCAGCUCGUAAAAAGAUACAAAAACAAACUCCCCGAAAAGUCGUAAAAAAUAUUUUUCGCUGCGUAUCGGCUUCUGGAGAGGAUUAGUCCUCGUCCACACUGUCUCACAGGCAAACAUCAAUAAUGGGGAAAGCAUUUACAGCAUUUACAUUUACGAGCCAAGGUGGCAAGGAACUCCAGCCCAACCAUGUGCCAUAUGGCACCUCCAUUAGCCAAAGGGCAGUGGCCAUUGGCUCUAAAAUAGAUAUGGGGAAAGGGUAUAUGCACAUUAUAUAUUUAUCUUUCGGAGCUAUAAAUACAUCAGCUAUUGGUAACCAGGGAAAUUGUCUUUGAGUUCAGCUGAAAGGGGGUUAAAUGGAGUGCGAUUAGAAAUUUAUUAAUGUAGGGUUACUUAGGGUUAAUCGAUUUUGUUUUGAAUAAUUUUGUAUUCACCGAUUCAUAUAGUACUUGUUUUUGCUAACGUGACAGUUAACUAAAAUUAGUUCCUAAAAAUGUUAGGAGCUUUAGUUUUCUGUCCAUCUUUGAUUGAAAGUGCAUUCCCACAUUCGUUAUUCACACUUCGCCCCCAGUUCAUUUCCCCAGUUAACGCGGAUUGCGUGGCGACCCGCCUUCUUUUGGAAAAUUGUUAUUUACAGCCUUAAUCUGUGCGAAAUGUAUUUGAGAGCAGAACGAACGCAUUGGCACGGAGCGGCGAGCGUAGAGAACUGCAAAGUGUUGGCAAACAAAAAGUCCAGCUUCAAUUAGCAUACCAUGGCGGUGAGCCAUAGACGAUGGCAUGGCUCCACCUCCAGCACCCCCAGUUCCUGGCCCCCAGAUCCCACUUCACUACAGUUCACUCUUUUUCCACUCGUGGGACUGCGACUGUAACUGGGACCUGGCCCAAGCUGCGAUUUUUAUGACAGGUUAAUGACACAACUACGACAAUGAUGGUGCUGCCGCUGCUGAUGAUGAAGCCAAGGCGGGAGUGCAAUACCCACAACCAGCAAAAAUACAAAACAAAAAGCUAGAACAUUAUUUUUUAAUUAACAAAUGAAAUGAGCAUUAACCAAACAAGAAAAGUAGCAAAAAAUUGAUAUAGAACGUGAGGCUCAGCGGAAUUAUAUUAGAAGGAAAAACAAGGUGAUAGCUGUUGCUGAUUCAUAAGUGAUGCACCUAAUGUAGGUUCCGAUAUAAAUCUUUUACAGCUUUGCCCGGACUUGAAUAUUGAUGCUCCUUAACUAAUGACGUCUGUAUGCUACAAUGUUCCCUAGUGUUUAUUCCAUUUUCUGCUAGUGUAUGAGUGCAAUGACUAGGUGGCUAGUCGGAUGAGUUGGCCGGCUCAGCUUGUUGCUGGCUAGCCAUUAAUCAGUACGCCCUGCGUCCAAAGGUCUGACCCCAAUAAACAUGACAGGCUCGGACUUUGGAUUACCAGGCAGGAAGAAAGGAAGACUCAGCUUUAGCGAGUUGGGGUGGGACCACACAAAGAAGCCACCGCGAAUCAAUCAAUUAAUUGCACAUUUUCUACACGAGUUCAUCGAACCCCCGAACUCCGCAGCAGCCCUUAAAUUAGGGACAAAAGAAAAGUGCCAAAGGAAAACCAGCGAAUACCAGUGAAUAAAUGUAUGGGAAAAUGAUGGGAUCGAGUGACAGGAGUGAUUGACACCCAACUGUCGUUGGUUGUCUCCUGAAAUUGGAAUAGAGUUUAGGUCUGGCUGCAGUGAUUAAGGUUCCUUUGAGGUUCAAGGAAAUGGAAAAUGCCUAACAUGAUUUAUUAUUCGAUUAUAAUGAAGUGGUUCACCAUUGGGAGACCAACUUAUAAAGCUUAGCUCUAUAAUGGAAUAAACUGAAUUUCAAUCAAGCAUAAAAUGUAUAUUUAUUGCAUAAUUUCAGGCGUAUUCCCCAGAACGAAAAGUCCAAUCUAAUUCAAUUACGAUAUUCAAACUUGGCACAUAAAACUAGUAUUUCCCAGGGGUUUUCCCUCUCAGUUCAAUGCUUACCUAGGACUAAAAAUGCGUCCUUUUGAGCGUCAGGAUAAUCCUUUUAAUUUAGGCACAGGCACACGAAAUUCGAAAUUCGGGGUGCGGCAAAAGUAGCAACAACAACAACAACAGCAGCACUGGGACUUCACGCACAUACACAAACGCACCACGCACGCACACAAAGGCAGCUGGAUACACUUGAAAAACUUUUGCCUUGGGUGGGGCGUUUUCUUCUCUCUUUUUUUUCGCUGGCUUUCGGUUAGAUUCGCAAAAAAUUUUCCAACGACGCCAUGGAAUGGAUUUGCGAUUUAAAUGUUUUAUUUGGGUGUUUUCUUUAUUUCAGCUAUCUAUAGGAUGCACUGCACUUUUGCAAUCAUUUAUAUGAUUUAGUAGACAUAAAGAUUGUUUAAAAAGUUAUAAGGGUGGUUUCACUUAGCCGCUGAAAACCAAUACAAUUUUCAAGGGCGCAUUAGAAAAUGUUUGUAAUUUGAAAAGUAUUGCAAAUAAACAAGUUACUCGAGACUUAAACACACUCUUGCUUUUUUGUAAAUGUCAUGCAAUUCAGAAAGAUAUUUUAAAACCACUAUAACAAAUUCUGUUGGGUAUGAUUAACAAAAUAUUUGAAAAUUUACAGCACGUCCACACGCGACGAUGUCAGGAUAGAAACUCCUGCCACGGUUACUGAACUUCAUCCAGGAUAUUCAGAGGGAAACUCAAGGGAAACUUUGCUUCCAAUUGGAACGGCAUAACGGGAUAGGACACCGAGUCUACACCCAAGGACUUUCGAGGUUCUUACUUUCCAGCCGGAGACUGGAUGGCGGUACAUAUACUACGGCCCAAGCCGAGCAGACUGGAGACUUUUCCCGAAAACCACAUUUGUUUUGAAACGAAUGCAGCCGGUCGCCGGAGCAGAGUAGCUCUUCCCGGGCCCCCGAUGGUGAAAAUUGCGAGCCGUUUAAUAGGCCAUCUUGUGAGACGUCAGUAUGGAUAUCGCAUUGGCAAGCAGAGGGUUAAAAUUAGAAGCGCUCAAAAAGAUUGGUUACAACACACUCUGAAGACAAGGCCAUAAAUCUAUUUUUGGUGGGCGUGGGCGUGCGAAUCUUUUCAGCGCCCCCCUCGAGGCAUUGACCGUGGAACAUGGAACCAUUGGAUCACUGAAACAUUGGGGCACUGGGAGUUACCUGAUUGACUAAUUGCCGUGGGCGUUCCGGUUGACAUCAAUCAGAAUGGGAUGGCGAAAAAAGAGAAGUGCCAAGGAAGGGAAGGGGAAGCCCAGUGGACAGACGAGUCAGGCAGCAAAUCGAACGAUUAAACGGACAAUUAAUUAGCCUCCGACCAGACAGAGACAGGGUAUAUAUACCACAUAGUAUAUAAACUAGUCAAGAUCACUUGCUGACCUUGAAGUCGCGCACAGCGGAUUAAAGGAUUAGCCCCCAAAGCGGGAUAUUCCCCAUUCUCUGGCCGCUUCCCUUUGCCACCUUUCCCCACCACUUCCAUUUCGUGUUGCAAAGCGAGAAGCGUGUACACAAACAAACGGCCCGUUGAAAAGGAGGCUUCAACCGGAGGAGCAGCCACUAUACGAUCUCUGGCAUUAUCACACUUCAACAAAAGCUAACAAGACGCAGGAGAGGCUCCAGGAGCAAAGUGCUCUGGAUACGGGUAUCGGGCGCUGGAAAAAUUUGACCUUAACAAUCCAGGGAGUGUUUUCUAAGAUCCAAAGAAUUAUCUAGUUAAUAAGUCUAGUUUUUGUUAGCUUUAUAUUCGCUUUACAUAUUAAGGGGAAUAAAUAUUUGUAAUUUCUAACUCCAAAACAAUUAAUUUUAUAUCCUCCUGCUUCAGAAAUCCGCUCCUGAUCUCCAAGGAACAUGAACGGACGCGUCUGGAACAGAGCGAAACAAAGCUAAAGCGACAAAUGCUCGUGCGACAACAACAACUGGCUGGAUCUCCUGAUCCACUCUGUCCCCUCCCCGUCUCCUACCCACCCCCUGGCACUUUAAUCAAGCGAAGCCGCUACGAAAACAGGAGCGGAGUGCGGGGGAAUGGAACG